AAUAGCUACACGGUCUUUGAUUGACAAUAGUCACGCUGAGUCCAGUUCGUGGUAGUUUAUAAGGUUAAAACAAGAUUACCGGAACCUUAAGAAGUAAUAUUGUAGUCUGGUUUAAGGGACGUGAGUUUAUUGAAUGGCAGUGAAGACUUCAAUGAAGACUUUAGUGGAAAAACACCCACCUGAAUCUCUCUGGUUCCUGUAAACAUCUCCUUAAGGCCACUGAACACUUGACGAACCAGGGGUCGCGGGUGUGCUGGAGCCUAUCCCAGCUGCACACGGGCAAAAGGUGGGGUACACCUUGGACAAGUCGCCACCUCAUCUCAGGGCCAACACAGAUAGACAGACAACAUUCACGCUCACAUUCACACACUAGGGCCAAUUCAGUGUUGCCAGGCAACCCAAGUGCAUGUAUUUGGAGGUUGGAGGAAGCCGGGGUACAUGGAAGGAACCCAUGCAGUCACGGGGAGAACAUGCAAACUCCACACAGAUAAAUCCCGAGCCCUGGACCUGACCCGGGAACUUAGUAUUGUGAGGCACACGUACUAACCCCUGUCCCACCAUGCUGCCCGGAGACCUGAACCUAAUUGAGCACUGGUGGAAGGAGGGACAAGGACUGCAAGCUGUCCAACAUCCACCAGGAGGAUUAAGGCAGUGCUUGGUGACAAUGAAUGACUUAUCAACAGACCUUCUUGGCCCAGACUCGCAUCAUGAUGUUGUAGACGUCUGUGUUGAGAAGUUCUCGUCGACUCCUAAGUCUGUGCUGCCUGAGAAGGAAAUGCUGCGCCAAGUCAAUGUUCCCCGCAAACACACACGCCUCCAGGUAAGACACGAUGCUGGAGCGGAGGUUCCUCGAAGGUAAUUCUGCAACCUGCCGAAGUCCCUCCGUUUGACUUAAAUAAGACAAAUGGUGUACUUUCUGGCUAAGUUUCCUUUCCAGCUCCUUCACCCAUGCGAGCUCCUUUGCUGUGAAUUGGGGUUUUGCACUAGGGUCUUCUUUCUUGGACUCCUUUUUUUUGGGUUUCUGUUUUUUUUGUGAUGCUGAUUUUGUGAUGAUGGUCCCUGCUGUAGCAGCAGAAAUCUUGACGGGUGAAACACCAGCACUAAUCUUAUCAGACCUUAUGUUCAUGUCGCUCUUUGAAGUUGAUAUUGUUUUAAAAGUUGUUUGACAAGGGACUUUGACUUCUUUCUGAGACUGUUUUUUUUUGCUACUGUGUUUUGUUUGUGUUGAUGAUUUUGAUUCUGUGAUAAUAGUCUCUUUUGUAGCAGCAGAAGUAUUGAUGGGCGAAACAACAGUACUAAUCUUAUCAGACCUUAUGACCGUGUUGUUAUUUGGAGAUGAUAUUGUUUUAAAAGAUGUGGCAGGAUGUCUAUGUUUGACUUGACUCUUUAGUUGUUUUUCUUUCGGUUUCUCUGUGACAUUCUUCUUCAAUUUUUGGUUGAGAGUGUUCCGUGUCCUCAGUUCGUUCUUCCUUUCCCGAGUUAACUUCUCCAUCCAGCGACUGGGCUGGGAUUUUUGUGCCAAUUUGGAGAUGUCAGCCUUCUCCACAGGUGUGUUCUUAGAAUGUUCACCAGAGAAGAUGCGCCUCGCGGAAGAGGGGACUUGAAGCACAUCCACUUUUGAUUUUUGUACAUCAAGAAUGCCAUCAUAUUGAAGUUGCUGGAUCCUGGCCUCCAGCACUGAAGAAGAUAAACAAGUAACAAAAUUACUCACGAUUAAAACAAGUAAUUGCAUCUGUGUCAGCAUAAUAGUUCCACGUGUUUAAAUUCAGGGGUAAUUACUCGCAUCUUAAAACUCAUUUGUAUACACAAGCCUUUAAAUAAA